rnacentral:rRNA from 1 species
GACGAACGCUGGCGGCGUGCUUAACACAUGCAAGUCGAGCGGUAAGGCCCUUUCGGGGGUACACGAGCGGCGAACGGGUGAGUAACACGUGGGUGACCUGCCCUCAGCUCUGGGAUAAGCCUGGGAAACCGGGUCUAAUACUGGAUAUGACUCCAUGACGCAUGUUGUGGGGUGGAAAGCCUUGUGCGGCUGAGGAUGGGCCCGCGGCCUAUCAGCUUGUUGGUGGGGUGAGGCCUACCAAGGCGACGACGGGUAGCCGGCCUGAGAGGGCGACCGGCCACACUGGGACUGAGACACGGCCCAGACUCCUACGGGAGGCAGCAGUGGGGAAUCUUGCGCAGUGGGCGAAAGCCUGACGCAGCGACGCCGCGUGAGGGAUGACGGCCUGGUUGUAACC